rnacentral:rRNA from 1 species
GACGAACGCUGGCGGCGUGCUUAACACAUGCAAGUCGAACGGUGAAGCGCCUUCCUUUUUGGUGGGUGUGGAUGAGUGGCGAACGGGUGAGUAACACGUGAGUAACCUGCCCCCUUCUUCUGGAUAACCGCAUGAAAGUGUGGCUAAUACGGGAUAUUCUGGGUCUGUCGCAUGAUGGGUCUGGGAAAGAUAUUGUUUCGGUGGGGGAUGGGCUCGCGGCCUAUCAGCUUGUUGGUGGGGUGAUGGCCUACCAAGGCGGUGACGGGUAGCCGGCCUGAGAGGGUGGACGGCCCCACUGGGACUGAGACACGGCCCCGACUCCUACGGGAGGCAGCAGUGGGGAAUAUUGCACAAUGGGCGCAAGCCUGAUGCAGCGACGCCGCGUGAGGGAUGGAGGCCUUCGGGUUGUGAACCUCUUUCGCCAGUGAAGCAGGCCUGCCUCGUUUGUGGGUGGGUUGACGGUAGCUGGAGAAGAAGCGCCGGCUAACUACGUG